rnacentral:rRNA from 1 species
AUUGAACGCUGGCGGCAUGCCUUACACAUGCAAGUCGAACGGCAGCGGACCUUCGGGUGCCGGCGAGUGGCGAACGGGUGAGUAAUAUAUCGGAACGUACCUUUCAGUGGGGGAUAACGUAGCGAAAGUUACGCUAAUACCGCAUAUUCUGUGAGCAGGAAAGCAGGGGAUCGCAAGACCUUGCGCUGAUUGAGCGGCCGAUAUCAGAUUAGCUAGUUGGUGAGGUAAAGGCUCACCAAGGCGACGAUCUGUAGCGGGUCUGAGAGGAUGAUCCGCCACACUGGAACUGAGACACGGUCCAGACUCCUACGGGAGGCAGCAGUGGGGAAUUUUGGACAAUGGGCGCAAGCCUGAUCCAGCCAUGCCGCGUGAGUGAAGAAGGCCUCGGUUGUAAGACUCUUUCUAGCUGGAGUGAACGGUAGCGGCUCUAACAUAAGCGUGCUAAUGACGGUACCAGCAGAAGAAGACACCGGAC